rnacentral:rRNA from 1 species
UUAAGCGACUAAGCGUACACGGUGGAUGCCCUGGCAGUCAGAGGCGAUGAAGGACGUGCUAAUCUGCGAUAAGCGUCGGUAAGGUGAUAUGAACCGUUAUAACCGGCGAUUUCCGAAUGGGGAAACCCAGUGUGUUUCGACACACUAUCAUUAACUGAAUCCAUAGGUUAAUGAGGCGAACCGGGGGAACUGAAACAUCUAAGUACCCCGAGGAAAAGAAAUCAACCGAGAUUCCCCCAGUAGCGGCGAGCGAACGGGGAGCAGCCCAGAGCCUGAAUCAGUGUGUGUGUUAGUGGAAGCGUCUGGAAAGGCGCGCGAUACAGGGUGACAGCCCCGUACACAAAAAUGCACAUGCUGUGAGCUCGAUGAGUAGGGCGGGACACGUGGUAUCCUGUCUGAAUAUGGGGGGACCAUCCUCCAAGGCUAAAUACUCCUGACUGACCGAUAGUGAACCAGUACCGUGAGGGAAAGGCGAAAAGAACCCCGGCGAGGGGAGUGAAAAAGAACCUGAAACCGUGUACGUACAAGCAGUGGGAGCACGCUUAGGCGUGUGACUGCGUACCUUUUGUAUAAUGGGUCAGCGACUUAUAUUCUGUAGCAAGGUUAACCGAAUAGGGGAGCCGAAGGGAAACCGAGUCUUAACUGGGCGUUAAGUUGCAGGGUAUAGACCCGAAACCCGGUGAUCUAGCCAUGGGCAGGUUGAAGGUUGGGUAACACUAACUGGGAGGACCGAACCGACUAAUGUUGAAAAAUUAGCGGAUGACUUGUGGCUGGGGGUGAAAGGCCAAUCAAACCGGGAGAUAGCUGGUUCUCCCCGAAAGCUAUUUAGGUAGCGCCUCGUGAAUUCAUCUCCGGGGGUAGAGCACUGUUUCGGCAAGGGGGUCAUCCCGACUUACCAACCCGAUGCAAACUGCGAAUACCGGAGAAUGUUAUCACGGGAGACACACGGCGGGUGCUAACGUCCGUCGUGAAGAGGGAAACAACCCAGACCGCCAGCUAAGGUCCCAAAGUCAUGGUUAAGUGGGAAACGAUGUGGGAAGGCCCAGACAGCCAGGAUGUUGGCUUAGAAGCAGCCAUCAUUUAAAGAAAGCGUAAUAGCUCACUGGUCGAGUCGGCCUGCGCGGAAGAUGUAACGGGGGCUAAACCAUGCACCGAAGCUGCGGCAGCGACGCUGAUGCGUUGUUGGGUAGGGGAGCGUUCUGUAAGCCUGCGAAGGUGUGCUGUGAGGCAUGCUGGAGGUAUCAGAAGUGCGAAUGCUGACAUAAGUAACGAUAAAGCGGGUGAAAAGCCCGCUCGCCGGAAGACCAAGGGUUCCUGUCCAACGUUAAUCGGGGCAGGGUGAGUCGACCCCUAAGGCGAGGCCGAAAGGCGUAGUCGAUGGGAAACAGGUUAAUAUUCCUGUACUUGGUGUUACUGCGAAGGGGGGACGGAGAAGGCUAUGUUGGCCGGGCGACGGUUGUCCCGGUUUAAGCGUGUAGGCUGGUUUUCCAGGCAAAUCCGGAAAAUCAAGGCUGAGGCGUGAUGACGAGGCACUACGGUGCUGAAGCAACAAAUGCCCUGCUUCCAGGAAAAGCCUCUAAGCAUCAGGUAACAUCAAAUCGUACCCCAAACCGACACAGGUGGUCAGGUAGAGAAUACCAAGGCGCUUGAGAGAACUCGGGUGAAGGAACUAGGCAAAAUGGUGCCGUAACUUCGGGAGAAGGCACGCUGAUAUGUAGGUGAAGUCCCUCGCGGAUGGAGCUGAAAUCAGUCGAAGAUACCAGCUGGCUGCAACUGUUUAUUAAAAACACAGCACUGUGCAAACACGAAAGUGGACGUAUACGGUGUGACGCCUGCCCGGUGCCGGAAGGUUAAUUGAUGGGGUUAGCCGCAAGGCGAAGCUCUUGAUCGAAGCCCCGGUAAACGGCGGCCGUAACUAUAACGGUCCUAAGGUAGCGAAAUUCCUUGUCGGGUAAGUUCCGACCUGCACGAAUGGCGUAAUGAUGGCCAGGCUGUCUCCACCCGAGACUCAGUGAAAUUGAACUCGCUGUGAAGAUGCAGUGUACCCGCGGCAAGACGGAAAGACCCCGUGAACCUUUACUAUAGCUUGACACUGAACAUUGAGCCUUGAUGUGUAGGAUAGGUGGGAGGCUUUGAAGUGUGGACGCCAGUCUGCAUGGAGCCGACCUUGAAAUACCACCCUUUAAUGUUUGAUGUUCUAACGUUGACCCGUAAUCCGGGUUGCGGACAGUGUCUGGUGGGUAGUUUGACUGGGGCGGUCUCCUCCUAAAGAGUAACGGAGGAGCACGAAGGUUGGCUAAUCCUGGUCGGACAUCAGGAGGUUAGUGCAAUGGCAUAAGCCAGCUUGACUGCGAGCGUGACGGCGCGAGCAGGUGCGAAAGCAGGUCAUAGUGAUCCGGUGGUUCUGAAUGGAAGGGCCAUCGCUCAACGGAUAAAAGGUACUCCGGGGAUAACAGGCUGAUACCGCCCAAGAGUUCAUAUCGACGGCGGUGUUUGGCACCUCGAUGUCGGCUCAUCACAUCCUGGGGCUGAAGUAGGUCCCAAGGGUAUGGCUGUUCGCCAUUUAAAGUGGUACGCGAGCUGGGUUUAGAACGUCGUGAGACAGUUCGGUCCCUAUCUGCCGUGGGCGCUGGAGAACUGAGGGGGGCUGCUCCUAGUACGAGAGGACCGGAGUGGACGCAUCACUGGUGUUCGGGUUGUCAUGCCAAUGGCACUGCCCGGUAGCUAAAUGCGGAAGAGAUAAGUGCUGAAAGCAUCUAAGCACGAAACUUGCCCCGAGAUGAGUUCUCCCUGACUCCUUGAGAGUCCUGAAGGAACGUUGAAGACGACGACGUUGAUAGGCCGGGUGUGUAAGCGCAGCGAUGCGUUGAGCUAACCGGUACUAAUGAACCGUGAGGCUUAACCUU